GAAUGUAUAGCUCAGUGGCAGAGCAUGUGCUUAGCACGCACAAGGUCCUGGGUUCAAUCCCUGAUCCCUCCA
rnacentral:tRNA from 1 species